UACGUAGGGGGCGAGCGUUGUCCGGAAUCACUGGGCGUAAAGCGCACGUAGGCGGCUUUCUAAGUCAGGGGUGAAAUCCUGGAGCUCAACUCCAGAACUGCCUUUGAUACUGGAGAGCUUGAGUCCGGAAGAGGUGAGUGGAACUCCGAGUGUAGAGGUGAAAUUCGUAGAUAUUCGGAAGAACACCAGUGGCGAAGGCGGCUCACUGGUCCGGUACUGACGCUGAGGUGCGAAAGCGUGGGGAGCAAACAGG
rnacentral:rRNA from 1 species